rnacentral:rRNA from 1 species
GACGAACGCUGGCGGCGUGCCUAAUACAUGCAAGUAGAACGCUGAAGAGAGGAGCUUGCUCUUCUUGGAUGAGUUGCGAACGGGUGAGUAACGCGUAGGUAACCUGCCUUGUAGCGGGGGAUAACUAUUGGAAACGAUAGCUAAUACCGCAUAACAAUGGAUGACACAUGUCAUUUAUUUGAAAGGGGCAAUUGCUCCACUACAAGGUGGACCUGCGUUGUAUUAGCUAGUAGGUGAGGUAAUGGCUCACCUAGGCGACGAUACAUAGCCGACCUGAGAGGGUGAUCGGCCACACUGGGACUGAGACACGGCCCAGACUCCUACGGGAGGCAGCAGUAGGGAAUCUUCGGCAAUGGGGGCAACCCUGACCGAGCAACGCCGCGUGAGUGAAGAAGAUUUUCGGAUCGUAAAGCUCUGUUGUAAGUCAAGAACGGGUGUGAGAGUGGAAAGUUCACACUGUGACGGUAGCUUACCAGAAAGGGACGGCUAACUACGUG